GACGAACGCUGGCGGCGUGCUUAACACAUGCAAGUGGAGCGACGAACCGGGGCUUGCCCCGGGGCAGAGCCGCGAACGGGUGAGUAACACGUGGGUAACCUGCCUCAAUGAUUGGGACAACCCGGGGAAACUCGGGCUAAUACCAAAUGUGUUCACUCCUUCUAAGGGGAGUGAGGAAAGGAAGCUUCGGCCUCCGCAUUGAGAUGGGCCCGCGGCCCAUUAGCUUGUUGGUGAGGUAACGGCUCACCAAGGCUUCGAUGGGUAGCUGGUCUGAGAGGACGAUCAGCCACACUGGGACUGAGACACGGCCCAGACUCCUACGGGAGGCAGCAGUGGGGAAUCUUGCACAAUGCGCGAAAGCGUGAUGCAGCAACGCCGCGUGGGGGAAGACGGCCUUCGGUUGUAAACCCUUUCAGUUGGACGAAGCUUCGUCGGU
rnacentral:rRNA from 1 species